ensembl:lncRNA
AAAUAAAUAAAAAUAUCACAGAUUUAACAGCAAUUUAACUGCCCUAUUGCACUAAUGCAUCUGGCAAACGGCUCUGUUUUCCUAAGCCCCUGACCCACCAAGACUACAAUCGGCCAUUUGCCAUGUCGGACUGUCCGUGAGCGUGUGUGUGUCUUUGUGUGUCCCACACUGUUGGCUGGAAAUGUUUUAAAUCUGAGGCUUUAUUGACCUCCAGCUCUCGACACAGGUUUGGGAAAUCCCCUUGAACCUGUAGCUGUAGCAGGCCUAUCCAUGAUUGCACCCAUUUAGUGCGCUUUCUCCUUACUUUUACCCUUCCGCCUCUUCCUUUCUUUUUCUUUUCAACAGCCAAAGGCUGAGAAUUCCAGUGCCAUUUGCAACUUCUUCUCGGUUAGAAGUACAUAUAUUAUGAAACCGUCUGUGGUGAGCGAGAGUGGUGUGGAAAAGGGUGAGCAAGCGGUGCUGUGUUCAUGGUUUGGUAUGGAGAGUUAUUUCUUCCCACGCAAGCGCAGAAAGUAUACGCGCUAGUUGGUUGUUAGCCGCUAGUUCUUUGACGUCAGUUUGGUGUGUCCCUGGCUUCACAGAUAUGUUGAGAUUCCACCAGCAGCUAGCCAUUCAAUCUCGGCUGCAAGCUAGCCAUACAAUCUCGGCUGCAAGAUGUCAAACCCUCCAAUCGAGCUGAGAUUGAGGCAUUUUUGCCCAUAGAAUUUUUUUUUCUGUUGAUAACAAUGCUUUUCUCUGCACCCUCUUGUAAAGUUUUUGUAACUUGUAACGUUAAAUUGUAACUUUGAAUUAACACAAGAAAAACAUCAGCAGGAAUGUAGGCUGUAAUAAGCCACAGUGUUGGUGGUGUCUUCAUUUCAUUAAUUUACAAAAUACAGCUGAUAAGUAUCCAUUAAGUCGGUUGAAAUGGUACGUGCAAUGUAAGAUGUAAACUCUAACUCUCGGCUAAGUACUCUGAUAGCUGUCUGCUGGAGCUAGCACAGUGGCUAGCGUUAGUCAUCGUUGUCACUUUGAAUUAACACAAGCAAAGCAUCUGCUUAAAUAUAGACUGUUAUGAAUCCGCCGUGGUGGUGGUGGUGGUAUCUUAAUUUAUUUGUGAAAACACAGCAGAUAAGCAGUUAUAUGUUUGAAUGGCUCUGUCUCCUUGUCACCCUGAAACUUAAACCAUCUGUCCCAUUUAUAGGUAAAAGGUCAGAUAUCCAGUAGAUGCUUUUGUCCAGUGUCCUAGAAAAGCAUCCUGCCCUGGCCGGGAAUCAAUCCCAGGUAUGUGGCUUGGAAGGCAGCGAUGCCACCCACUGUAUGACUAGUACCGUAUUACCAUGACAGAUCACAUACCAGAAAAAAAAUCUCUGAUGAGCGGCCAGGUAUGUUAACGUAUUGGUGUGGUUGAAAUGACAGAGUGCUAUAUAAUCUUGUUCGCCAGCCAUGGCUGCUACCUUUGGUCUACCUACUGUAGCCUACAGCUGGCAGAGGAAGAGUAGAGAGGGAAAAAAACGACAGUAACAAAAAAACGACGGGGGGGGGGGGGGGGGGCAUUUUCAGCCAUUUUUACAAGAGCAUUACAUGGGAUCAGGAUGGACGUGUCAGAGUUGGAGCGUUAUUAAUAUCUCAAAAAGGCUAGGAGCACAAGCGGCGUCACAAAACGGGCGGAAUAAAGAUAAAACUUACGAAGAGCAUUAUUGUGACAGAGCAAUCGCACUAGUAAACAGUUAAGUCUUCUGAUGGCUGCUAGCAAGGUUGGUAGCACAAUGAUUAGUGUAUUUUCCUGGCUGCUAGUAAGGUUGGUAGCCCAAUGAUUAAUGCAUUUUCCUGGCUGCAUUCUAGAGGUGUCUGACCUAUUUCUGGGAUGUUCUUUAGCAAAGGUUCAGCAUGGUACUCUACGUUGGGCCUCUACUAAUGAUAACUGCCAACAUGCUUGCUAGCUAGUGUGCCACUGACUACUAAGAUUGGACCGGUUUGGCCACUCAAAUAAUAUUAUUCGGUCAGACUAGCCCAGAGGACACUGUGAAUCACCGCACUCAGAGAGUAAUGAGUUUGCCAGAUACCUACAACCAGCAAAUCUAGAAACCUGACUGAUUUAUUACACAAAUCUGGUUGAUCAUUAUGGCAAACACCAACUGUAGAAGUACAAGGAAUUACUAUCAUUAGAACAUGGAUAGCAUUGAUAGACAGUAACAGUGAGGGACAGGAACAUAAGAGGUGUGUGAGUGUGAGUGUGCGCGUGUGCGUGUUGGCAAGACUCCAGUGCGUCACUGUACUGAAAAUUCGAACCUUGUGAUCAUCUGCUCCUAUGAUCUCGCUCUAUCUGCCAGUGCAAUCUCUCCAGUAACAAAUGCCCUUUUCUACUCUGCUCCCCAAAUAACACGCUAUCUCUCCUUAAAAAACCCAGCCAGGACCCACCGAUCUUGGAACAGGUAGUACUAAACAUGGAUCUAAGCAAAGAAACUACCAAGCACCAGGAAUGUCGAAAGCAUUUGUAAUAACAACUAAGUGAAAGCAGAGCCAGAGUUUUAGAUUUACUGUGUCAACCUCAACAAAGCCUUGCAUUCAAUACCCCACUGGCUUGACCGACAUCCCAACAAGGGAACGUUGAACUCGGCUUCAACCAUGCAAUUAACUCCGAUUUAAAAACAGAGCUCUUCACAACGAUGCUGGGCUUGAUUCAAUGGUGAACCACCGCCUCACCACAUAGGGACGUUGUUUUGAGAAAGUAGGCUUGUGUGUUUUAUUCCAAUAAAUGGAUAAGACUAAUUCCCCUUGAAUACAUUAACAACUAAAACCUUAACAUCCACACACACAAAAACACACCUCAGGCAAACAGUCAGGAACAUAUUAUUAUUGUACACUAUAUUAAUGUAGAGAUAGGAUAAGACAGGGAGCCAAUGGCUGGAAUGACCUCUGACCCCUACAGAAGGUCAAGAUACUAUGCUUAACCUGUUUGCACUCAUUGCAUUCACCAUCCUAAGAAGCUAGGAACUGGCAUUGUUUGCUCGAAGGCGGAGUCGAGUUUCAAACACCUGUCAAAGCGGAAAAUACAGAGUGCACUUUCCACGGGGACAAGCUGACAAGUCAUGGCACUCGAAUCUUAUCACACCUCCCCGCACGACCAGCACAACAAGCCCAAACACAUACCAUGAUGGGACGGAUGGCUGAGCUGUCUGUCCCUUUCUGAAACACGUAUCAGAUCUGUAUCAUUGCUCUGCCCCACAAACCAAUGGGAUCCUGCAGCACAGGCUCAACACAGGGCCAAUACAGGGCCAACACGGGGCCAACACAGGGCCAACACAGGCUCAACACAGGCUCAACACAGGGCACACACAGAGCCAACACAGGGCCAACACGGG